CCUACGGGUGGCAGCAGUGAGGAAUAUUGGUCAAUGGGCGAGAGCCUGAACCAGCCAAGUCGCGUGAGGGAGUACUGCCCUAUGGGUUGUAAACCUCUUUUGUCGGGGAGCAAAAGCCGGACGUGUCCGGCUGUGAGAUUACCCGAAGAAAAAGCAUCGGCUAACUCCGUGCCAGCAGCCGCGGUAAUACGGAGGAUGCGAGCGUUAUCCGGAUUUACUGGGUGUAAAGGGUGCGCAGGAGGAUUUUUAAGUCAGAGGUGAAAGGGUACGGCUCAACCCUAGCAAGCCGUUGAAACUGGGGAACUUGAGUGCAGGAGAGGAGAGUGGAAUUCGUGGUGUAGCGGUGAAAUGCGUAGAUAUUAGGAGGAACACCAGUUGCGAAGGCGGCACUCUGG
rnacentral:rRNA from 1 species